UCGAGCGGUAGAGAGAAGCUUGCUUUUCUUGAGAGCGGCGGACGGGUGAGUAAUGCCUAGGAAUCUGCCUGGUAGUGGGGGAUAACGUUCGGAAACGGACGCUAAUACCGCAUACGUCCUACGGGAGAAAGCAGGGGACCUUCGGGCCUUGCGCUAUCAGAUGAGCCUAGGUCGGAUUAGCUAGUUGGUGAGGUAAUGGCUCACCAAGGCGACGAUCCGUAACUGGUCUGAGAGGAUGAUCAGUCACACUGGAACUGAGACACGGUCCAGACUCCUACGGGAGGCAGCAGUGGGGAAUAUUGGACAAUGGGCGAAAGCCUGAUCCAGCCAUGCCGCGUGUGUGAAGAAGGUCUUCGGAUUGUAAAGCACUUUAAGUUGGGAGGAGGGGCAGUAAGCUAAUACCUUGCUGUUUUGACGUUACCGACAGAAUAAGCACCGGCUAACUCUGUGCCAGCAGCCGCGGUAAU
rnacentral:rRNA from 1 species